rnacentral:rRNA from 1 species
GACGAACGCUGGCGGCGUGCCUAAUACAUGCAAGUAGAACGCAGUUGCGAACGGGUGAGUAACGCGUAGGUAACUGCCUCAUAGCGGGGGAUAACUAUUGGAAACGAUAGCUAAUACCGCCUACUGUGAGAUGGACCUGCGUUGUAUUAGCUAGGUGGUUAGGUAAAGGCGCACCAAGGCGAAGAUACAUAGACGACCUGAGCGGGUUAGUGUGCACACUGGGACUGGUACAAGGCCCAGUCUACUACGGGUGGCAGCAGUAGGGAAUCUUCGGCAAUGGACGGAAGUCUGACCGAGCAACUGCGCGUGAGUGAAGCAGGUUUUCGGGUCGUAAAGCUCUGUUGUUAGAGAAGCGUUAACUAACCAGAAAGGGACGGCUAACUACGUGCCAGCAGCCGCGGUAAUAC